rnacentral:rRNA from 1 species
GACGAACGCUGGCGGCGUGCUUAACACAUGCAAGUCGAGCGGUAAGGCCCUUUCGGGGGUACACGAGCGGCGAACGGGUGAGUAACACGUGGGUGACCUGCCCUCAGCUCUGGGAUAAGCCUGGGAAACCGGGUCUAAUACCGGAUAUGACUCCAUGACGCAUGUUGUGGGGUGAAAGCCUUGUGCGGCUGAGGAUGGGCCCGCGGCCUAUCAGCUUGUUGGUGGGGUGAUGGCCUACCAAGGCGACGACGGGUAGCCGGCCUGAGAGGGCGACCGGCCACACUGGGACUGAGACACGGCCCAGACUCCUACGGGAGGCAGCAGUGGGGAAUUUUCCGCAAUGGGCGAAAGCCUGACGGAGUGACGCCGCGUGUGGGACGAAGCC